GCCUUCAUGGUGUAAUGGUCAGCACACUCAAUGUGUAUUUGAGAGGUUCAAGGUUCGAGUCCUGGCAAAUGCA
rnacentral:tRNA from 1 species